rnacentral:lncRNA from 1 species
UGUAUUCCUCUUGCCAGCUAAACACAAGAGAUGUUUACUAAGAAUCUCCUGCAGGCUAGGAUUCAUAGCUUUGUAGUUUGGCAAAGUUAAGGAAUACCUAGUAUGUCAUGUUGUAAUUCAGAAUUUGUGUUUCAUUCUCAUGGUGAUAAGGGGUAUUGAACUGAAUUAAUGAAGACACACUUAGCCUUGUAGCUUAGAAAAGUUAUGGUAGUAGUUUGUAAAAUGACUU